rnacentral:lncRNA from 1 species
CACUUGGCUAGGAUUAAAGCAUCUGGGAAUAAAAUAACUAAGCUAUUAAAUGGUCAUUUGAGUUUAUAUUUGGUGUAAAUUUUUAAAAAUUUUUAAAUUUUAUUAUGAUUAUUAAUAGUCCUACUGCAAAAAGAAAUCUUUUUUAGAAAUUAAGAUAUAGUUUACACACUUAAAAAAACAUAUUUCAUCAUUUAUCAACAUGCCUUUUACAAUAUUACCUCUCUUCUACUAGGGAAAUACAGAAACAACAUGUCUAAAGCGGAGAAAUUCCUAUGUGACAUAUACAGAGAGACAAGCAGAUGAAAUCUGGGAGGAAAUUAAGAGUUUAUUCUAACUAAGAAAAAAAAAGAAAGCACUGUUCACAAUAGCAAAGAUACAGAAUCAAGCUAAGUGGCUAUCAAAGGAUGACUUGAUAAAGAAAAUGUGGUACAUUUACACAAUGGAAAACUAUUCAGCCAUAAAAUGAAUGAAAUCAUGUCUUUUGCAACAACAUGAAUGGAACUGGAGCCAUCAUCCUGAGUGAAACGAUGCAGAAACCAACAGUCAAAUACCGUAUGUUCUCACUUAUGAAAGCUAAAGCAUGUAUACACAUGGACAUAAAGUAUGGGAGGACAAACAUCAGAGUCUCAAAGUCUGGGGCUGGAGACAGAAGACAGAGCCUUAUGUGUCUGCUAGAAUGGGAUCUAGAACAGAGACCCCUGAACAAAGCUGAAAUUCUCACCCUCAGAGAAAAGAGAUGGGGGUCUCACUAUGUUGCCCACACUGGUCUCAAAAUACUGGGCUCGAGCAAUGCUCCUGACCUGGCCUCCCAAAUUGCUUGGAUUACAGAUGUGAACCAUUGUGCCCAGCUUCCAUUUCCUCUUUGCUCUCCAACACAUAUGGACUCCUACUGUCAUCCAAGUUGUUUCACUUAAAACUUACCAGGUUUCUGAAAACCAGAAACAGAUGGACUAAUCCAAACUCCUCAGAACAGACGGCUUAUCAAACUCCCCGCCUUGAGGACCCGGGGCUCCCCUGCGGAGUGCAGGGUCCACGCAAUAAUUCACUCCAACUCCUCCACAUCAGGAAGAACACUCACAGAACUUUCAACAAUUAGCCUUUCCUUGGCCCCAUUAUCAACAACUGUGGGAAAGAUAUGUCCUUAUCUGACCCUGGAGGACGCAAGCCACCUAACUGCCAGACACCAGAUAUUGUUGCAGGGAGCAACCCUCACAAACAUAUGCAAAGAUGAACAGAGGAGGUGGAAAUGGGUGGUCUUGAUCAAUGCAUGCCUUGGCAUCCGGAGUUUGGUGAAAAAUGAGAAAUAAAGAUGCAUGUUGGAUGGAAGUACAGUGCAGAGUCGAAUAAAAUUGCCACCUCCUGCUUUACCUCAAUGACCCCAGUUGGUGCCUGUUCUUUCCCUCCUUUACCAUCAAAACACAACUACAUCAAAGCUGUUUUUACACAAAGGAAUAAUGCCUAAUAAAUAAAAUCCUAUUACUUCCCCUU